GAAAUGCGAUAAGUAAUGUGAAUUGCAGAAUUCAGUGAAUCAUCGAAUCUUUGAACGCACCUUGCGCUCCCUGGUAUUCCGGGGAGCACGCCUGUUUGAGUGUCAUGGUAUUCUCAACCUUCAUAACUUUUGUUAUCGAAGGCUUGGACUUGGAGGUUGUGCUGGCUCUCGUUAGUCGGCUCCUCUUAAAUGCAUUAGCGUGAACGUUUGCCGAUCGCUAUCAGUGUGAUAAUUAUCUGCGCUGUUAGUGUUGAAGCAUCAUUAGUGUCGCGCUUCUAACCGUCCUUCACAGGACAAUUUACUUUGACAUCUGACCUCAAAUCAGGCGGGACUACCCGCUGAACUUAA
rnacentral:misc_RNA from 1 species